CUACGUAGGGGGCGAGCGUUGUCCGGAAUGAUUGGGCGUAAAGGGCGCGUAGGCGGCCCGGUAAGUCUGGAGUGAAAGUCCUGCUUUUAAGGUGGGAAUUGCUUUGGAUACUGUCGGGCUUGAGUGCAGGAGAGGUAAGUGGAAUUCCCAGUGUAGCGGUGAAAUGCGUAGAGAUUGGGAGGAACACCAGUGGCGAAGGCGACUUACUGGACUGUAACUGACGCUGAGGCGCGAAAGUGUGGGGAGCAAACAGGAUUAGAUACCCUGGUAGUCCACACUGUAAACGAUGAAUGCUAGGUGUAGGGGGUAUCGACCCCUUCUGUGCCGCAGUUAACACAAUAAGCAUUCCGCCUGGGGAGUACGGCCGCAAGGUUGAAACUCAAAUGAAUUGGCGGGG
rnacentral:rRNA from 1 species